rnacentral:sRNA from 1 species
UAUAAUAAUAAGCCUAAUAACCAUGUGAAGAUGUUUUGCAAACUGCGUGGAUAGAGCUAUGCUUGAAUAAGGGCACAUUGUUAUUUGUGGGAUACUGCUAAUAAUAAUGUUUGAAUAACUGGUAACAGCUAUUUAAGAAUCUAAAAGGGAAGCUGCUAGCUUUAGUGCUUAUUAUAUACGAUGUAAAAUCAAGAAACGAGUCGGAGCGAUAAUAGACGCCUCAGUGAGGAAGAAUCUAUGAUGGAAUGGUUUCGCAGCCAAAAACCUAAUAGAAAAACCAAAAUAAGCUUUUUGAGUUGAAUAGUAGUAAUACUAGUAUAAGAUUCGUCUUCUGUAUGAGUAGCUAAAUCUCAUUUGAAAUUCCUAGUGAAAAUUGCAGGUAUAGGCCUGUUAGAGUUUUACUAAGGUAAAAGGUAAUAGCCUCGCUAGCUAUUAUUCACUUUAUCUUCUCUAUGGAUGAAUAUACAAAUAUAUAUAAUAAGUAAGAAGAAAUUCUAUUAGACUUAUUAUUAU